rnacentral:snRNA from 8 species
AAAUUGUACAUUUUUGUAUUAAUAAAAAUAAAAAUGAAAAAAAUAAAAAUCGAACAGGGAGUCGGAAUGGGGCUUGCUCCGUCCGCUCCACGCAUCGACCCGGUAUUGCAGUACCUCCGGGAACGGUGCAACACUU